GACGAACGCUGGCGGCGUGCUUAACACAUGCAAGUCGAGCGAGGCCCAUCCUUCGGGGUGGUGCCCUAGCGGCGAACGGGUGAGUAACACGUGGGCAACCUGCCCUCAGCUCUGGGAUAACUCCAAGAAAUUGGUGCUAAUACCGGAUGUGACCGCUGACCGCAUGGUCUGGUGGUGGAAAGAUUCAUCGGCUGAGGAUGGGCCCGCGGCCUAUCAGCUUGUUGGUGGGGUAAUGGCCCACCAAGGCGACGACGGGUAGCCGGCCUGAGAGGGUGACCGGCCACACUGGAACUGGGACACGGCCCAGACUCCUACGGGGGGCAGCAGUGGGGAAUAUUGCGCAAUGGGCGAAAGCCUGACGCAGCGACGCCGCGUGAGGGAUGACGGCCUUCGGGUUGUAAACCUCUUUCAGUAGGGACGAAGCGAAAGUGACGGUACCUACAGAAGAAGCACCGGCCAACUACGU
rnacentral:rRNA from 1 species